UACCAGCACCCCGAGUGGUCGGGACGUUUAUUGGGCCUAAAGCAUCCGUAGCCGGUUCUACAAGUCUUCCGUUAAAUCCACCUGCUUAACAGAUGGGCUGCGGAAGAUACUAUAGAGCUAGGAGGCGGGAGAGGCAAGCGGUACUCGAUGGGUAGAGGUAAAAUCCGUUGAUCCAUUGAAGACCACCAGUGGCGAAGGCGGCUUGCCAGAACGCGCUCGACGGUGAGGGAUGAAAGCUGGGGGAGCAAACCGG
rnacentral:rRNA from 1 species